rnacentral:tRNA from 1 species
GGUGAUAUAGCUCAGUGGUAGAGCACUUGCACAGCAUCUGCAAGAUCCUGGAUUCAAUCCUUGUCACUA